GAUGAACGCUAGCGGCAGGCCUAAUACGUGCAAGUCGAACGGUGUCUUCGGACAUAGUGGCGCACGGGUGCGUAACACGUAUGCAACCUACCUUACAUUGGGGGAUAGCCUUUCGAAAGGGAGAUUAAUACCGCAUAAGACAGUAGCUGGGCAUCCAGCAGCUGUUAAAGAUUUAUCGAUGUAAGCUGGGCAUGCGUCCAAUUAGCUAGUUGGUGAGGUAACGGCUCACCAAGGCAAUGAUUGGUGGGGGAACUGAGAGGUCAAUCCCCCACACUGGCACUGAGAUACGGGCCAGACUCCUACGGGAGGCAGCAGUAGGGAAUAUUGGGCAAUGGACGCAAGUCUGACCCAGCCAUGCCGCGUGCAGGAUGAAGGCGUUAUGCGUUGUAAACUGCUUUUAUACAGGAAGAAACGACUCUUGCGAGAGGCAUUGACGGUACUGUAUGAAUAAGCACCGGCUAACUCCGUGCCAGCCGCCGCGGUAACAC
rnacentral:rRNA from 1 species